UACGGAGGGUGCAAGCGCUAUCCGGAUUCACUGGGUUUAAAGGGUGCGUAGGUGGGUUGGUAAGUCAGUGGUGAAAUCUCCGAGCUUAACUUGGAAACUGCCAUUGAUACUAUCAGUCUUGAAUACCGUGGAGGUCAGCGGAAUAUGUCAUGUAGCGGUGAAAUGCUUAGAUAUGACAUAGAACACCAAUUGCGAAGGCAGCUGACUACGCGAAUAUUGACACUGAUGCACGAAAGCGUGGGGAUCAAACAGG
rnacentral:rRNA from 1 species